ACAACAGGUGGAGCCUGCGGUUUAAUCGGACUCAACGCCGGGAAGCUCACCGGAUAAGACAGCGGAAUGAUAGCCGGGCUGAAGACUCUGCUUGACUAGCUGAGAGGAGGUGCAUGGCCGUCGUCAGUUCGUACUGUGAAGCAUCCUGUUAAGUCAGGCAACGAGCGAGACCCACGCCAACAGUUGCCAGCAUGUCCUCCGGGAUGGUGGGGACACUGUUGGGACCGCCUCUGCUAAAGAGGAGGAAGGAAUGGGCAACGGUAGGUCAGCAUGCCCCGAAUUAUCCGGGCUACACGCGGGCUACAAUGGUCAGGACAAUGGGCAUCAACACCGAAAGGUGAAGGCAAUCUCUUAAACCUGUCCGUAGUUCGGAUUGUGGGCUGCAACUCGCCCACAUGAAGCUGGAAUCUGUAGUAAUCGUGUCUCAAAAUGGCACGGUGAAUAUGUCCCUGCUCCUU
rnacentral:rRNA from 1 species